rnacentral:lncRNA from 10 species
UCUGCGCUCCCCUCUCUCCCCUCUCUAUCCACUGGGUCUGGGCCGCACUUCCCGCCCACCCGCCUGCCAGCGGCCGGGAAGCCUGUGGAAGUUAUGGGGAUGCAGGGAGAGGGGGAGAGGGGAGCUUGUGUGCUAGGGGACCAGCCAUUUGAGUCAAGCUGGAGACGACGUCUUAGAACCUAGGAUGAGUCUCGUUUGGUUUUAGUCUGCAAAGCUCGUCUGCAUCAGACAGGAAUUUUCCCCAGACGCGGGUGCACGUGAAUUAAUUCAUCAGAAGGCGGUUCACGGCCUGAGUGAGGGGGACGAGGGCGGCGAAUUCCUCCGCCUCAUUCCUACCCUGACGAUUCGAGCCUUAGCAAGUUCUGGCCUGUGGAGCCGUCAUCCAGAGCGCACAGCUUCAUGCCCUUGAAGGGCGCAGUGUGUCCCGUGGUGCCCGGUGGGCCCGGACAGAGACCCCAGAGGCUCUGUCUGAAGGAAGCUGCACCCACAGACUCCAUCCAGGCAGCGCGGGCGCGGUCCUGUCGCCUACCUUUCUCGGAAGCCAUCUGCCCAUGUGAAUCUAUGUGAAGGCCCUUCAUGCGCUCCUGGACAUCUGCGUGGGAUUUACUUCAACUGCUAUCGCUGCGAGGAGGACGAGCAUGUUUCACUGUAUUUUUAGCAGAGAGUGCAGAUUUUAGAACCUCGCGAACGGUCCUGUAUCUCCUGCACGAUGACUCUCCAGAACAGGAAUAGUGACCCUUCCUUUGCAUUUAUGGUGCAUAGGUUUUCAAAGGACAGUGUGUAAAUCAGCUUGUGUAAUAAUUGUGGCACCCACGCGCGCAAGCAGACUUACCAUGAGCUGACUUCCACUGAUUAUUUCAGUUUCCAGGGAAACGAGGUUUGCAGCCCCCUCCAGUGAGGGCGGAGCGGCCUCUCCAUUCCCAAUGCAGCAAGGCUGCUGCAGCCACGAUGAUUAGGCUUUGGAGGAGGAAGUGAACGGAUGGGGCCUCAUCCUCCUGCCUCCCUAAAGGGUGAGGGUGGAAGGAUGGGGCUGUGCCCUCUUAGGGCAGGGAAAAACAGCUUGGAGGGGUUUCUGCCAUCAGAGAUCCCAUAGGAGGCAGGUCAGUCCUGCAGAAUUUCUCCCCAGUCUGGCCUCCAGCCUCCCUGGCCCCUUUCUAGAGGCCUCCAUCCCACUGGCGGCUUGCUCCUGCCACCGGGCCUCUGCACAGUCACCUCCUGCAGCCUGGGGUGUGUCGCCUCUCCACGUCCUCACCGGCGUCUGCCUUUGCAUUUCCCAGAUGCUCGCUUCACCCCACUGAGAUGUAACUCAGUUUUGUGGGAUCCCACUGCCCUCCAGGUGCCGCUCCGAGUGCUCUACACAGAUUUUCAUUCAGUCCUUGCGGCACACGAAGAGUGGCUGUACCAUUUUGCAUUCCCAGACCGAAGUGUGAAAGCUCCAGAUGCCCCACGCCCUCACCAGCCCACGGUGUUGUCAGCCUUAAUAGUGCUGACCAUUCUGCCUGUUAAUAUGAUGAAUUACACUGAUUCAGUUUCAAAUGUCCAACCAAGCUUGCACUCCAGAGAUGAAGCCCACUUGAUCACAUGGAUUAUUCUUUUAAUAUAUGAUGGAUACGACUUGGCUGUUCUUUUGUUGAGGAUUUUUGUGUUUAUGUUAAUGAGGAUAUUAUUUGUAGUUUUCUUUUCUUGUAAUGUUUUUGUCUUUGUUCAGUGUCAGAGUAAUGCCAACUUCAUAAAGUGAGCUGGGAAGUACUCCCUCAUUUUCUGUUUUCUGUGAAAGAAUUGUAUAGAAUUGAUGUUAUUUCUUCCUUAAGUGUUGAGUAGAAUUCACUUGCAAAGCCAUCUGAGGUUGACAUCUUCUUUGGGAAUGACUUUAGCUAUAAAUUCAAUUUAUUUAACAGAUAUAGGGCUAUUAAGGUUAUUUAAUUUUUUUCUUGAAUGAGCUUUAGUGUCCUGUGUUUUUCAAGGAAUUUUUCCAUUUUAUUUAAGUUUUUAGAUUUGUUGGCAUAAAGUUAUCCCAAUAUUUCCUUAGAAGUUGUGACUUUUACUGCAUAUAAAACAUACCUCAAUAAAGCUAAUACAUACAUAUAUAUAUAUGAAUCAUUUCUGGCCAGGUACAGUGGCUCAUGCCUGUAAUCCCAGCACUUUGGGAGGCAGAGGCAGGUGGAUCACCUGAGAUCAGGUGUUCCAGACCAGCCUGGCCAACAUGGGAAACCUGUCUCUACUAAAAAUACAAAAAUUAGCCAGGUGUGGUGGCAUGCCCCUGUAAUCCCAGCUACUUAGGAGGCUGAGACAGAAGAAUCGCUUGAAUCCGGGAGGUGGAGUUUGCAGUGAGCUGAGAUUGCACCACUGCACUCCAGCCUGGGCAACAGACUGAGACUCCAUCUCAAAAAAAAAAAAAAAAAUCCCUUUUUAUCUAAAGGAUCUGUAGUGAAGUCCCCUCUUUCAUUUCUGAUAUUGGUAAUUUGUGGGGUUUUUUUGUUUU